GUAAGUAUAGUUUCAACACAAACAUUAGACUGUGAUUCUAAAAAUAGAAGUUAAACCCUUCUUACUUACC
rnacentral:tRNA from 1 species